rnacentral:rRNA from 1 species
UACGGAGGGGGCGAGCGUUGUCCGAAGUUACUGGGCGUAAAGCGCGCGUAGGCGGGUUGGUAAGUCCGCUGUGAAAGCCCGGAGCUUAACUCCGGAGGGUCGGUGGAUACUGCCAGUCUUGAAGGUGCUAGGGGGAGAUGGAAUUACCGGUGUAGCGGUGAAAUGCGUAGAGAUCGGUAGGAACACCAGUGGCGAAGGCGGUCUCCUGGGGCAUUCUUGACGCUGAGGAGCGAAAGCAUGGGGAGCGAACAGG